rnacentral:rRNA from 1 species
GAUGAACGCUGGCGGCGUGCCUAAUACAUGCAAGUCGAGCGAACGGACGAGAAGCUUGCUUCUCUGAUGUUAGCGGCGGACGGGUGAGUAACACGUGGAUAACCUACCUAUAAGACUGGGAUAACUUCGGGAAACCGUAGCUAAUACCGGAUAAUAUUUUGAACCGCAUGGUUCAAAAGUGAAAGACGGUCUUGCUGUCACUUAUAGAUGGAUCCGCGCUGCAUUAGCUAGUUGGUAAGGUAACGGCUUACCAAGGCAACGAUGCAUAGCCGACCUGAGAGGGUGAUCGGCCAGACUGGAACUGAGGCACGGUCCAGACUCCUACGGGAGGCAGCAGUAGGGAAUCUUCCGCAAUGGGCGAAAGCCUGACGGAGCAACGCCGCGUGAGGGAUGAAGGUCUUAGGAUCGUAAAACUCUGUUAGUAGGGAAGAACAUAUGUGUAAGUAACUGUGCACAUCUUGACGGUACCGAAUCAGAAAGCCACGGCUAACUACGUG